GAUGAACGCUAGCGGGAGGCCUAACACAUGCAAGCCGAGCGGUAGAGAUUCUUCGGAAUCUUGAGAGCGGCGUACGGGUGCGGAACACGUGUGCAACCUGCCUUUAUCAGGGGGAUAGCCUUUCGAAAGGAAGAUUAAUACCCCAUAAUAUAUUAAGUGGCAUCACUUGAUAUUGAAAACUCCGGUGGAUAAAGAUGGGCACGCGCAAGAUUAGGUAGUUGGUAGGGUAACGGCCUACCAAGUCAGUGAUCUUUAGGGGGCCUGAGAGGGUGAUCCCCCACACUGGUACUGAGACACGGACCAGACUCCUACGGGAGGCAGCAGUGAGGAAUAUUGGUCAAUGGGCGCAAGCCUGAACCAGCCAUGCCGCGUGCAGGAUGACGGUCCUAUGGAUUGUAAACUGCUUUUAUACGGGAAGAAACACUCCUACGUGUAGGAACUUGACGGUACCGUAAGAAUAAGGAUCGGCUAACUCCGUGCCAGCCGCCGCAGUAACAC
rnacentral:rRNA from 1 species